AGGUGGCUGCGGGGAGUUUAGAGGCUGGGGGAAGACAUGAGGAACCCUCACCUAAAUGGAGCCAGGCGACCACGGCACCAGGAAGAGAGAGCUGCUGCAGUUAUUCCUUAGGUCCUGGCAUUGCACACACAGCCUGACUAGCCUGCAGCCCCAUAAGAACUCUACAGUGGUCAUGUAUGGAUGUGAGAGUUGGACCAUAAAGAAAGCUGAGCGCCGAAGAAUUGAUGCUUUUGAACUAUGGUGUUGGAGAAGACUCUUGAGAGUCCCUUGGACUGCAAGGAGAUCCAACCAGUCAAUCCUAAAGGAAAUCAGUCCUGAAUAUUCAUUGCAAGGACUGAUGCUGAAGCUGAAGCUCCAGUACUUUGGCCACCUGAUUCGAAGAACUGACUCAUUGGAAAAGAUCCUAAUGCUGGGAAAGAUCAAAGGCGGGAGGAGAAGGGGAUAACAGAGGAUGAGAUGGUUGGAUGGCAUCACUGACUCAAUGGACAUGAGUUUGAGUAGGCUCCAGGAGUUGGUGAUGGACAAGGAGGCCUGGCGUGCUGCAGUCCAUGGAGUCACAAAGAGUCGGACAUGACUGAGCGACUGAACUGAACUGAGGGGACCGGUGAUGGCCCAAGGGGUCCACCUUGUGUGCCUGCUCCAACUGACCAGUCAUGGCUCCUUGAAGCCCUGUGUGGAGAAGAAUUCUGACUCCCCAUCCUGGCCUGGAGGUGAUGGGCACACUCACGAUUGGUGAUGGCAGUCAUGGUGUGGACCAGAAAGCGGCAGUAGAAUGUGCUUACAUUUCCAUAGUAGACACUCACUGAAGUAUGGCUAUCAGUUUUCCUAUUUCUCUGCUCCUUGGGAGAAGACGUAGGAUUCUGCUGGCCUCGGAAAGGCCAGGAUCCUGCUGGACCAGUGGCUGUUUCCACCAGCACUGCCCAGGUCCCAAAGUCACUGAGCCUGCUGUCCUGGCUCAGCACAGACUUCUUUGGCAGCAAGGAUGCUCCAGCCAGCCCUAUCUUUUAAUCAGCAGACUGCGUCAGCCCUGUCGGGAUUGUUUAAGGUCUUCUUCCUCCCGGGACUUUCUUGCUCUUUUCAUCCUCAAAUGCCAACCUUACCCUCCCUGCCAACAGAUCACACACACACACACACACACAUACACCCUGCCAUGUUCACCACCACGUCCUCAUAGUAAGUUACAGGGAAUUAUUGAUAUUAACUCAAGUUUUUCCACUCCAUAUCACCCCACUAUCCACAUCUCCCAUUGUCGCCUGCCCCAACUCAGGGGGCCUGACGUUAUUCCAGCAACACAUAUCAGAGUUGGAUGAAGGUAGAAGAAGUAGAAAUCACAGCCACAGGCAUCCUAUGGGGCGAGCUGAAGAAGCCUCAGUGAUCACCACGUGGCCCCUGGAGUAACUAGAGGAAGAAGGGAAUAAGAAAUCCUUUGCACACAGAAUGUUCUUUCUAGUUUCACCAGCACGUGGAAGGAACCUUUGCUUAUUCACUUAUUCAAGACAUAUUUACGGAGCACCUCUAUGGGCUGGGUACAGACAGCUGUCUGCCCUGAAAGGGAGACAGCCAAGUAGAAGCCGGUGGGUGCUGAGCAGCUCAGCAGGAGUGC
ensembl:lncRNA